AAUAAAACCACACAGUUCGCUUGACAUCCAUAUUUUUAAUUUUCUAUGUAUUAAAAAUAAUAACACAUCUCUUAGUUCUAAGACUCUUACAAUAUUGAAAGAACGGUACUCAAUUAAACUCAUGUUUAUCAGCAGUUUGGACAUCUACGGCACAGAUAUACAAUGCAAAGGCAUAUUGCACAGACUUGGCUCACAGAGGGGCUCUCUGCCUUUUUUUACACUUUAUCUUAGGUCUUUUCAUGUUACGUCUGGGGACUGAGAACGGACCACCUAAAACAGGGAUACUGGGAUGUGGACAGGCCCUGAGAGUCCUACUCCUGGAGGUGCACUGUUAUGUUAAAAUGCCCAUUCGGGACUAGCCUGAAGAAGGCAUUCUCACAUGGCUCACCACCUGUCCUUUCCAUAUUGCCUGGAUUCUGUGCACGUCACAGACCAUUUUCAUUUGGGCCAAACCUAACAACAGUGGCGGUCUGGGCCAGUUCAUUCAAUAAUUGAUAUUAAUAAAAUUGAUUUUAUUCAGUAGAAUGAAACCCUUUGACUCUCCAGGAAUGAUAAUGGAAAAUCACGGAUCUAACACAAAAAUCCAAACACAGCCCCUCGAUCGGGACAAGGGCUGGCUGUUUUGGUACAUUGAAGUGUGUGUUACAUCCAGAUGGAGUCUAUUGCAAUCCAGUUUGAUCCCUGCUCACUCUUUACAACAGACUAUUUAUGCCUAUUGAUACACGCGAAGUUCUGCUGAGCUCAGACCUAAUGGACAGAGCUCAGAGGAGAAUCCGGAGACUAAAUUGUUUGGUCUGCACUGAACAAUUGUGGAAAUGAAUAAGAUCUGGAGACAAACAAAAUGUGAGAAAAAUAUUGUGAUAACAUAUUGUUGCAAUCUGUAUUCUCCUGUUGAGUUACAGGUAAACUCAAAAAUGUUGUUUGACAGUAAUCUGAAUUUUAGGGAAUUUCCAAAGCUUUUUGCUCCUGAGCAAAUAUACCACUUUUCUGCCAGUAAUUGUAAUUGUUUAAAAAAGAAAACACAAAAGAGAUGGCACGGCUGAUCAGAGGUGUAAAUACAGUAUCUGCUGUUUAGAGAUGUGCAAGCUGAAACACCUCUGUUGCUAAGGAGCAAUAGGCUUUGGAUAUUUUUCUUAUAGAAUUCCAAAGGUCCAUCUUAAAAACAGCAACUCCUGGAUAUAAGAGAUUACAAUAAUAUUUAUUAAAAUGUAGACACAACCUUGACUUCAAAAAUACACUCAGAUAACUCCAGAGACCAAUUUGCUUUGGCACAGUGGAUCACUCCAACUUACCCUUUGAAAUAAAUAUGUAUGCACAAAAAAUCAUCCCCUUUCAGUACCGAGUGUAACUUUUAAUAUUCUAAAUAAUAUGUUGUAGUGAUAAAAGCUGUGGUUGCAUUGUGAGGUCGAUAUAAUUCCUUUGCUAAGCAUUCCCAGCAGCCCAUUCCUAACGGUUAUUGUUCUCUCUUCAGAAACAGAGAAGAAUUCCACAGUGCUCCAAAAUAAAGUACCACACACUCACAAGACAAGCCUUUAAACGAUUCUUUGGAUGGGAAACCUUAUUUUGCUUACUGAUUUGAUUUAAUAUUUUUUUCAGUCAUCUAAAAAUAUCAAUUUACAAAAAAAUGUUUUGUGCAAGCACGUUAACUUUUUUCUGUAAACGACGUUUGAUUACGCUAAGCAAUGGUUAUGAUCAAUGUGAGAAUGUUGAUGCGUUGCGUGCUCAUUUCUGUUUUAAAGGCACAUUUUUCCUAAAGAAUUUUGUUGCCCAUUCAAUUGCCUCUUGACAGAUUCCCAUUAUACUGUUUUUGCCUGCUCAGCCAAAAGUCUGUGUUUGGCUCAGAUGUUGGCUGUGUUCUGCUGUUCUGGACACGGACACCAGAUGGUGCUCAAUGAAACCUUUCCACAGCGCUUCCCUGAUAAUGCCAGCUGCUGGCGGCACAGAUGCACAAAGCCAGGGGAAGCAGGAAUGAACGCCAGACAUCUUCCAGCUCUGCUCUCAGGAGGACUACAUGCAUGAACUACUUGUGCACGGCAAAUGCCGGAGCAAGAGCCACCUUGAAGGACUUAUCAGGCUGUGUCCGUCACCCUGCACAGGGCUUCUCGACUCGCAGCCCUUCCAAACUGAAGCGGUACCUGAGCGUCUGUUCUUUAAUUGAUAAUUAGCAGAGUCAGCAGCUUCAUGGAAUUGCAACAGUUUGAAAAGCCCUCGUUUCAAGUGUCUUCAGGUGAACUUAUCUAGGUUACCUUUUGAACAUAUGGGAAUUUUAAAUAACUGCAGAGAGAACAGUAGAAAACACCGUCGCUCUCCCUUCAUCACUCUGGAUGCUUAGAUCUGCCCUUGGUUUCAUUGUAGCAGGAUGCAGACAAAUGUGGGAUUGCACUGGAGGCGUAGAUUUCAGUACUGUGGUAAGGGCCACUAGAUGGCAAUAUGAACCAAGCUUGAGAUUCCAAAAGGUGCUGUCAUAGACAGUUUUGAAAACAUAUUUUUGGUGACUUUGUGUGAUGUUCUGCUCCUAACAUUUAAACAUAGCUCUUCUCUGUACCCAUCGUAGCACUGUAAACCUUUUCCCCGUUGGAAUUCUACCACAAAGCAGGUGGUGAACUUCAGGUGGAAACACUGUGAAGUACAUCAUGAAUCUAGUCCGAUCGUAAAAGAAACUACGACGACACCCAUCACCAGAACGAACAACUCGUAGAAAAAUGGUACUGUCCCACGCAUAACAGAAAUCACUGGUGCAAAGGUUUAAACUAUUUGAUGUAUCUACAACAGGAGACAGAAACAACAACAAGGAUAUGCAGGUCAGCACUUUGGCUUGGGGGGUCAAAUUUUUCGCUGUUAUGAGCAGCUGGGCAUCUCUGAAGACCAAAGCCUCCAGCUGGGCAACCCUACAGACCACAGCCUGCAGCUGGGCAACCCUACAGACUACAGCCUGCAGCUGGGCAACCCUACAGACUACAGCCUGCAGCCAAGCUGUGAUGCAUAAACAGCUCCUUAUGACAUCACAAUACCCACCAUUCCUGAGGAACAUUUAUGGUGCAGUUCAGAGGAAUGGCUUUGUACCAUUCCUCCCAUUACCCUCAGAUUCUCUGAAUAAAGGCAACAUGGUCUAGGAGUCCGCUAGGACAUCUGGGGCUGGAUUUGGGGAACCAGAGGAGACCCCUUUUCCUCCCAACAAAGAAAAUAGAGACCAGCUUCUGCUUGGAGACAAUCAGAGAUGCUGCAAGGAUAUACCAUCUCACCUGAUCAUACAGGGCCAGGCUGCAGCAGGCUGGAGCGAUGGUGUUGAGUUCCCAGCCUGGAGUUCCCCUGGUCAGCAGAGAUCCGUACUCCAACACAACAGGAUUCAUCAGUCACACACACACAAACACACACAGUCAGGGUAGAAUGUAACAUAUACAAUAAUAAAUAUUUAAAUUUAUGAGUACUGUAAUAUACAGUUUUUUUAUGUAACAAAAUGUUACAUAAACUGCUUCUCUCUCCCUUUUCUUAUCAGAUGUUUAAAGAGCCGAGAGGCACUCAAUCAGCUUAGAGCGUUUGGACUAUGUUGAGAGCCAUUUCUGCAGCAAUUUCUUUAAAGACUUCAAGUUUGCAGCGGUUUGUUUUCUGUUUUUGUUUGCCAGUCUGAGAUUUUCUGCUAAAUGACAAUAUAAACCCUGAUACUGACAGUUUACCUAAAGUGUAUGCACACUUAACAUUGCCAAAUCUCCCUGGAGCUCUGCAAGGGGGACGCACAGUCACCAUCAUCAGUUUCUCCUGUUCUUCUUGCAUUUAGUGGAUGUAAUAAACCCUCUGUUAGUGAGACCCCUCUCAGAUUACAUUCUUCAGAACUGAGUCUUUGUCUUGAACUCCAACAACGUGCCCAGGGAAAGGGCAGAACUCCAGCAAUAUCUGGGAUGGUGUUGCAAUUCCUAAGACUGUGGAAAUUAGCUGCCUUUUUCCUUCCCUUUUAACAUCUGAUUUUUGUUCACAGAGGAAAUUUGAGUCCCGUGCAGUUUUUCCGAUUGGUUAUCAGAACACUGAAAUUGCAGGCCUGCCUCCAGCCUACUUCGUACUUCCAAAUGCUUGGAGCAUUCCUAGCAGUGUUUUGCCACUAAACAGUGCCAGCAGGAGGGAUCAGUGUGAAGGCACAACUGCUUGUGUGAGAGCCUCAGAGCGCUCAGCAGAACUGUGCCAGAGGCCCACUGCCGCCAGGAGGAGCAGAGCAGGCCCUGCACCCAGGGUAGAUCUCAGAAGAAGUCAUGUAAAGGAGAACAAUGCCAAAAAUAUCCUGAGGAAUCCUGAGACAUCCUUAGGAAUCAUAUGACGUCCUGAGGAAUCCUUGGGCAUCCUGAGGAAUCAUGAAACAUCCUUAGGGAUCCUGAGACGUUUCGGAAAGAUCACCAGUGACACCGCUGAACCAGAAAGGCAGAGACGGGAUGGGGCUCCGCCUCAGUCUGAGAGUGCAAGCAGCUCAUCGAUUGCUAUCAGCAGCAGCUGCUGCGUCUUCGCUGGCGAGGAGGAAGGAAAAAAGUUCUACCAGGCUUCCAGUCUGUUCUUGUGAUUUUUCCAAAAGGAAAAAAACAGCUUGAGAGUAAAAGAGGCAGAAAUAAACAGCCUGUUCAGUACUG